GACGAACGCUGGCGGCGUGCCUAAUACAUGCAAGUUGAGCGAUGAAGAUUGGUGCUUGCACCAAUUUGAAGAGCAGCGAACGGGUGAGUAACGCGUGGGGAAUCUGCCUUUGAGCGGGGGACAACAUUUGGAAACGAAUGCUAAUACCGCAUAAUAACUUUAAACAUAAGUUUUAAGUUUGAAAGAUGCAAUUGCAUCACUCAAAGAUGAUCCCGCGUUGUAUUAGCUAGUUGGUGAGGUAAAGGCUCACCAAGGCGAUGAUACAUAGCCGACCUGAGAGGUGGGUCGGCCACAUUGGGAGGGAGACCGGCCCAAAACCCAGCGGGGAGGCGCAAGGAGGGAUUCUGGGGGAAUGAACGAGGGUCAGACCGAGCAGCGCGGAGGGAGGAAGGAGGGUUUUCGGGUGAUAAAUCUCUGUGGGAGGAGAAGAACGUUGGUGAGGGGGGAAAGCUCAUAAAGUGACGGUAACUCCCAAAAAAGGGCCGGCUAACUACGUG
rnacentral:rRNA from 1 species